rnacentral:misc_RNA from 1 species
UGGAACCCUAGUUUUCCCAUCCAUGGCCACCGAUGCUUCGCCGAAGUUUCAACAACGGGACCUAUUACCAGUGCCGCAACCACCCGAUUACCAUCCGGUGGUUGCCGUUUCGCCGGCACAUGACGGACUCCAUUUUUGGCAGUUUAUGGUCGCCGGGUCAAUUGCCGGUACGGUUGAACACAUGGCGAUGUUCCCUGUAGAUACAAUCAAGACCCAAAUGCAAGCUCUAGGUACUUGUCCCUUAAGAUCUGCCAGUAUCCGUACGGCGCUUGGGGGAAUUCUUAAAUCCGAAGGUGUUGCGGGACUUUACCGUGGCAUUGGUGCUAUGGGACUCGGUGCUGGUCCAGCCCAUGCUGUUUAUUUCUCUGUUUAUGAGAGUUGUAAGAAGAAAUUUUCCGGUGGGAAUCCGAAUAAUUCAGUUGCACAUGCUAUUUCGGGUGUUUGCGCCACAGUUGCAAGUGAUGCAGUUUUUACACCGAUGGAUACGGUGAAGCAGAGGUUGCAGCUGAGUGAAAGCCCGUAUAAGGGUGUAUUGGAUUGUGUAAAAAGAGUUUUG